GACGUAGGAGGCGAGCGUUGUCCGGAGUUACUGGGCGUAAAGCGCACGCAGGCGGUCUCUUAAGUUUGGAGUGACAGUUGGUGGCUUAACUGCCAAAGUGCUUCGAAAACUGAGAGACUUGAGGGCUUCAGAGGGACACGGAAUUCCGGGUGGAGUGGUGAAAUGCGUAGAGAUCCGGAGGAACACCAAAGGCGAAGGCAGUGUCCUGGGGAGUACCUGACGCUCAGGUGCGAAAGCCAGGGGAGCGAACGGG
rnacentral:rRNA from 1 species